rnacentral:rRNA from 1 species
CCCUUAGAUGUUCUGGGCCGCACGCGCGCUACACUGAUGCAUUCAACAAGCCUAGCCUUGACCGAGAGGUCCGGGUAAUCUUUGAAACUGCAUCGUGAUGGGGCUAGAUUAUUGCAAUUAUUAAUCUUCAACGAGGAAUGCCUAGUAAGCGUGAUUCAUCAAAUCGCGUUGAUUACGUCCCUGCCCUUGGUACACACCGCCCGUCGCUCCUACCGAUUGAAUGUGUUGGUGAGGAGCUCGGAUUGGCAGCAGUUGGUGGUUCGCCACCGGCUAUUGCUGAGAAGUCCUCCAAACCGCCCCAUUUAGAGGAAGGAGAAGUCGUAACA